GAAACGGCUACCACAUCCAAGGAAGGCAGCAGGCGCGCAAAUUACCCAAUCCCGACACGGGGAGGUAGUGACAAUAAAUACUGAUACAGGGCUCUUUUGGGUCUUGUAAUUGGAAUGAGUACAAUUUAAACCUCUUAACGAGGAACAAUUGGAGGGCAAGUCUGGUGCCAGCAGCCGCGGUAAUUCCAGCUCCAAUAGCGUAUAUUAAAGUUGUUGCAGUUAAAAA
rnacentral:rRNA from 1 species